rnacentral:rRNA from 1 species
GACGAACGCUGGCGGCGUGCUUAACACAUGCAAGUCGAACGGAAAGGCCCUGCUUUUGUGGGGUGCUCGAGUGGCGAACGGGUGAGUAACACGUGAGUAACCUGCCCUUGACUUUGGGAUAACUUCAGGAAACUGGGGCUAAUACCGGAUAGGAGCUCCUGCUGCAUGGUGGGGGUUGGAAAGUUUCGGCGGUUGGGGAUGGACUCGCGGCUUAUCAGCUGGUUGGUGGGGUAGUGGCUUACCAAGGCUUUGACGGGUAGCCGGCCUGAGAGGGUGGCCGGCGACAUUGGGACUGCGAUACGGCCCAGACUCCUACGGUAGGCAGCAGUGGGGAGUAUUGCACAAUGGGCGGAAGCCUGAUGCAGCGACGCCGCGUGCGGGAUGACGGCCUUCGGGUUGUAAACCGCUUUCGCCUGUGCCGAAGCGUGAGUGACGGUAAUGGGUAAAGAAGCACCGGCUAACUACGUG